UACAGAGGGGGCAAGCGUUGUUCGGAAUUACUGGGCGUAAAGGGCGCGUAGGCGGCCUUCUAAGUCGAACGUGAAAUCCCCGGGCUCAACCCGGGAACUGCGUCCGAUACUGGAAGGCUUGAAUCCGGGAGAGGGAUGCGGAAUUCCAGGUGUAGCGGUGAAAUGCGUAGAUAUCUGGAGGAACACCGGUGGCGAAGGCGGCAUCCUGGACCGGCAUUGACGCUGAGGCGCGAAAGCCAGGGGAGCAAAGCG
rnacentral:rRNA from 1 species